rnacentral:tRNA from 1 species
CGGGGCGUAGCGCAGCCUGGUAGCGCACUAGACUGGGGGUCUAGUGGUCGCAUGUUCGAAUCAUGUCGCCCCGACCA